rnacentral:sRNA from 1 species
UCGUAAGCCGGUGAUUGGC